UGAUUCAAUUGGUACCCACAACAAAAGAGGCAUUCUUCGCUGCUGAGAUGUGAGAAUGAAAUGAUACUGAAGGUGCAAAAUCUUAAGCAAAGUCAAAAGGUGAGACAUGAGAUGCUUCUCAACACCCUUGUGAUGGACUCUACCAACAUGGCAAACUUGUCCUUCCAUGCGCAAAGCCCAUAAUUACAGGCACCCUCUUUUGCACUCUUCCUUUGAUUUGCUAAGGAAUUUCAGAUGUAGAGGAUAUGCCUCUUGGUGAAUCGCAAUUACAUCAAUCAAUUUGCCCCCAGAACUUGAGACAGAGUCACUAGCUUGGGUUAUAAUAAUGAUUCCUGAUUGCUUUAGCCAUCAUAAAGAGGUUUCAUAUUCUAAUUUGUGUAAAAUAGACAUCAAUAAGCCUGUGCAUUUGGAUUCAGAGAAGACAAUUAGACAAGAUUUGCUUUCUAUGUUGUUAUUGGAACAGAGCAUCUACAAGAUAUGCUUUAUUUUUUAAUUCUCGUUGAGAUCAUCUAUUUUGGUCAACGAAUCUAUUUUUAGAGGUCCUUUCCUAUAUAUAAUUCAGCCAUCUUAGUUCAACUUUCAGAGAAGUUGUGAUGGUGAUGGUGAUGAUGACAACUUGGAAUCCAAUUAGUACCCACAACAAAAGAGGCAAUCUUCUUCCUCAUUCUUCUUCUUUGCUUGCUGCUUGUUGCCUAGUUAGUGAUCGACAUUGCUGUUUAUGACUUGCAUAAUCUGGCAGGAGAGUCACAUGCUGCAACUUCCACUUCAGAUGUUAUGGUACUCUUACCAAACAAUCCAUGGCUAUCUCAUCAGGCAGGCUCGGAAUCAACUGCUACUGCUGCUGUUGUUUGAGUUUCUGGAAAUUCUCGGUACUGUUCUGUGCUUGUUCCCUUUCUUGUUUCUUGUACUAUAUUCAAUCUCUUUCAAGAGUGAACAAAAUUUAUGAGAUUUGAUGGGGAAUUUGCAAUUUACCAAAUGGCCGAUUACUUUGCUGGUAAUUGCAAGUCCUCUUUGAGGCCACAUUGCACUUACUGGCUGAAAUUGUGUGGAGUUUGUUCUACGUGUGGUUACGUGUGUGACCUACAGUGGGUCAGACUUUAUCUAUUUAUUUUUUUAAAAAAAAAUAAUUUUUAAUUAUUAAAUCAAUGUAUUUUUGUAAUUUUAUUAACAUCUAAGGAGUAUAAGGAACAUUUUACUUGCCAACUGUUUGAUUUAAUGUCGAAUUUAGGU